ensembl:rRNA 5S_rRNA 5S ribosomal RNA
UUUCCUUAGUUUAGCACCAUAACCUCAGGGUCUGAUCUCAUCAGAUCUCACAAGCUAAACAGGGCCAGGACAGGUCAAUAUUUAGAUAGGAAACUUCCAAGAAAACUCAAAUGUUUGCAGGAAAG